rnacentral:rRNA from 1 species
GUAGGGAAUAUUGGGCAAUGGUCGGAAGACUGACCCAGCCAUGCCGCGUGCAGGAAGACGGCCCUCUGGGUUGUAAACUGCUUUUAUCUGGGAAGAAAAAGGCCAUGCGUGGCAAAUUGCCGGUACCAGAUGAAUAAGCACCGGCUAACUCCGUGCCAGCAGCCGCGGUAAUACGGAGGGUGCGAGCGUUGUCCGGAUUUAUUGGGUUUAAAGGGUGCGUAGGCGGCUGAUUAAGUCAGCGGUGAAAGACUUCGGCUUAACCGGAGCAGUGCCGUUGAUACUGGUUGGCUUGAGUGUCGGAGGGGUACAUGGAGUUGAUGGUGUAGCGGUGAAAUGCAUAGAUACCAUCAGGAACACCGAUAGCGAAGGCAUUGUACUGGCCGACAACUGACGCUGAUGCACGAAAGUGUGGGGAUCGAACAGGAUUAGAAACCCGUGUAGUCC